GAUGAAGAACGUAGCGAAAUGUGAUAAGUAAUGUGAAUUGCAGAAUUCAGUGAAUCAUCGAAUCUUUGAACGCACAUUGCGCCCCUUGGUAUUCCGAGGGGCAUGCCCGUUCGAGCGUCAUUAUACCCCUCAAGCCUAGCUUGGUGUUGGGGCCUGCUGUUACCGGCAGCCCUUAAAAUCAGUGGCGGUGCCAUCUGGCUCUAAGCGUAGUAAUACUUCUCGCUACAGGGUCCCGGUGGAUGCUUGCCAUCAACCCCUAAUUUUCUAUGGUUGACCUCGGAUCGGGUAGGGAUACCCGCUGAACUUAAGCAUAUCAAUAAGCGGAGGA
rnacentral:misc_RNA from 1 species